CGAAAGCCCAAAACGACAGCCAUGACAGGGCGAAGAGUCCUGAUGGUGGAUACGCGACGAGUGACGAGUUCUUCUGGAUUGAGCCUUCCGCGAGUGGAAGUGGUGUACUAAGUAGAGGCAUCCGUUGAUCGCCGCAGUCAAACGAGCCAACCGGAAGGGGUCGUGGGUGGACCGCGAGGAUAACCGCCAAGGAGUCAUCGAGUCCCCACAAGUGAAGGAGCUUCCUUCAAGACGUAUCCUGAACCGACGGGAGCGGUUGGUGGAGACCCGCCCUGCCCUCAUAGCUCUACCGACAACACGAGCUGCUUUCGAAUAAGAGAGAUAGAACGAACAAUAGAAAUCCGCGUGUAUACACGCGAACAAUUAGUUUAUUGAAUUAAAUAUCAUUAUAUCAAUUGAAAAUACACUGAAU